GACUGCUGUUCUAACCCUAAUCAGCUAACUUCCAGGCGCAUUUCCUUCAUUAUCCUUCCUUACGUGCUUUGAAACCAAUGAUAUUCUUAUUCACAAGGCUCUGUCAUAGGAACGAUCUGCUGGAGGAUAAUUAUUCCCCUUAUCUUAUUGCUAUUUAAUAUAUUUAUUUUCAUAACUGUAAACUUUUGGGUUCAGUGUUGGGUACAAGCAAAGUGUAAAGAGUGCGCAGAGGAAGCGAACUUAGAAUACAGAGGGGGAAAAAAGGACCAGAUCGGACAACUCCACAAUGAACAACAAUACAGCAGAGAAGGAGAACUCUCAGGAAGAUAUCAGCCUUCCAGAAGAGGAGGUGAGGACUUUGUUUGUCAGUGGAUUACCGUUAGACAUCAAACCAAGGGAACUGUACUUAUUAUUCCGACCAUUUAAGGGCUAUGAAGGUUCCCUAAUAAAACUUACAUCAAAGCAGCCUGUAGGUUUUGUCAGCUUUGAUAGCCGUUCAGAAGCAGAAGCCGCCAAGAAUGCAUUAAACGGUAUUCGUUUUGAUCCAGAAAUUCCUCAGACGUUACGACUGGAGUUUGCAAAAGCAAAUACAAAAAUGGCCAAGAGCAAGCUAGUCGGUACCCCAAACCCUAGCUCACCUCAGAUUAACAAUAUACCUCAGUUUAUCUCUAGGGAUCAAUAUGAGCUCACAGUGCCUACCCUUUACCCGGGCAGCCCUGAAGUCUGGGCGCCGUAUCCCCUCUACCCAGCGGAAUUAGCACCUGCGCUACCUCCUCCUGCUUUCACCUAUCCCGCUUCACUGCAUGCCCAGGUUCGCUGGCUCCCUCCCUCAGAUGCUACGUCUCAGGGCUGGAAGUCCCGUCAGUUCUGCUGAGUAAUGUGUAACAGGUGUGUGAUCGCGGCUAUUGUCUGUCUUGUGGGUGUUCUCUUCCUUGUUGGCCACUGGAGUCUCAGGCUAUUCAUCACACCAGCGGGCUGGCUUGCAGACCAUCAAUAGCUCCAUGUUAAUACCCUCAAGACUAUGACCCGGACCUCUAUCACACAUCUGCUCUACCAAAACCCGAAGAUGAAACAAGUGAAAAUCCCCUACACUUUUUUACACUGUAAAGAACUGCAGAGUGCCUUAAGUGAAUGCUUGGCUUACCAGACAUUGCUGUCUCUACCGUAUCGCAAACCAAAUGAAGCAGAACUGCUCAUAGCAAGCAAUGUAUGACCCAAGCAAAUGUACACUGUGUUCAGACACAAUAGUUUGUGCUAUGGUUUUGUUUUGACGCUUGUAAUUAAAAUUAUAUCUAUUUUUUCUUUGGGGUUUUUAAGCUGCAUGUUUUUAAGCAUAUGUUGAGAUUUUGUCUUUUUUUUUUAAAAAAAAAGAAGAGGAAAAAUAACUGUAUUUUUGAGAUAUAGAUAUUUUGUUUUAAGGAAACUGUAUAUAUUGAAUACACUUUGGCGCGGUAUACCAGUAUUAUAUAUAUUUUGCCAAUUCUUAUCAAGAUCUGUUAUGGUAAGACAAUUUUAAAGGGAUCUAUUAUUAUUAAAACGUAAAUACUGUAAUUGAA